GGGGAUAUAGCUCAGUUGGUAGAGUGCUUGCUUUGCAAGCACAAAGCCCUGGGUUCAAUCCCCAGUACCCCCC